GACGAACGCUGGCGGCGUGCUUAACACAUGCAAGUCGAACGGUGAAGCGCCUUCCUUUUUGGUGGGUGUGGAUGAGUGGCGAACGGGUGAGUAACACGUGAGUAACCUGCCCCCUUCUUCUGGAUAACCGCAUGAAAGUGUGGCUAAUACGGGAUAUUCUGGGUCUGUCGCAUGAUGGGUCUGGGAAAGAUAUUGUUUCGGUGGGGGAUGGGCUCGCGGCCUAUCAGCUUGUUGGUGGGGUGAUGGCCUACCAAGGCGGUGACGGGUAGCCGGCCUGAGAGGGUGGACGGUCACACUGGGACUGAGACACGGCCCGGUCUCCUACGGGAGGCAGCAGUGGGGAAUAUUGCACAAUGGGCGCAAGCCUGAUGCAGCGACGCCGCGUGAGGGAUGGAGGCCUUCGGGUUGUGAACCUCUUUCGCCAGUGAAGCAGGCCUGCCUCGUUUGUGGGUGGGUUGACGGUAGCUGGAUAAGAAGCGCCGGCUAACUACGUG
rnacentral:rRNA from 1 species